rnacentral:rRNA from 1 species
ACGAACGCUGGCGGCGUGCCUAAUACAUGCAAGUCGAGCGGAAUGAUGAAGAAGCUUGCUUCUUCUGAUUUUAGCGGCGGACGGGUGAGUAACACGUGGGCAACCUACCUUGUAGAUUGGGAUAACUCCGGGAAACCGGGGCUAAUACCGAAUAAUCCAUUUUGCUUCAUGGCGAGAUGUUGAAAGACGGUUUCGGCUGUCACUACAAGAUGGGCCCGCGGCGCAUUAGCUAGUUGGUAGGGUAAUGGCCUACCAAGGCGACGAUGCGUAGCCGACCUGAGAGGGUGAUCGGCCACACUGGGACUGAGACACGGCCCAGACUCCUACGGGAGGCAGCAGUAGGGAAUCUUCCACAAUGGACGGAAGUCUGAUGGAGCAACGCCGCGUGAGUGAAGAAGGUUUUCGGAUCGUAAAACUCUGUUGUAAGGGAAGAACACGUACGAGAGUAACUGCUCGUACCUUGACGGUACCUUAUUAGAAAGCCACGGCUAACUACGUG